CAAGAUCGCGGAGGACACGGCGAGGAGGAUCGUGGAGGAACAAAACAGCAUCCUGGAGCACCAUCAGAAGGAGGACAUCAGCGAGGAGAAGCUCACAUACACAGAGAUGAAGUCUCGCUGGAAGCAAAAGGAGUUCAUGGCGAAGUCAUGGGAGGAUUAUGUUUCUAGGACUUCAAACUAUGAAGCCCUGAAGGAAGUAAAAGCACAGAGGGAGAAGAACGCUGAAUCAUCCAGACCUAAACCAAAGCACGAGGAUGCUGCUAUCCGCCCUG